rnacentral:misc_RNA from 1 species
UUUUAGCCCCCUGCCCGUUGCAGGCGGGUGGGCGCAGCGGCAUCCCUGAAACGCAGCGAAAGGAUAUAGCGGAGCACAGGAACAGGC